AGGAAACAACUGCCCCUGUUCCUAACCCACUGGUGGUUGGAGGAAAGGGUGUGGGACCAAGGUGUGGCAUGGGCCAUCUAAGGAAGCUUCCCCAGACCUGGUCUCUCUUUCCCAAGCAGAUGGUCCUCUCCUGAUCUCCAAACCGGCCACAGAGGACUGAGCAUUCGCUGUAGCUAUAGAAGGUUGGACUGAUGGCUGGAAAUGAAGACGGAAAAGGAGGGCCGGGAAAGGGGCUCCUGGCUUUACUUGACCUCGAAGGCGUUGAACGUGUUGCGUAAAGGAGGGAACAGAUUCUGGAUGCUGCGCUACUGUACUGGGGAGGAAAUCGGACACUUUCUGGAGGUGACAGAGAUUGGAAUGGGUGGAGAACAGCACGCCUCAAGGCCAUAAAAUCGAACCUCUUGGAAGAAUCAGGUGCAUCAGAAAUUACGGGAAGAGGGAC